rnacentral:rRNA from 1 species
CUUAGAGGGACUGCGGUUGCGUCUAGCCCGCGGACCCUUGAGGGGGAACGGGUCUGUGAUGCCCUUAGAUGUUCCGGGCCGCGCGCGCGCUACACUGACAGAGCCAGCGAGUUUUUCACCUUGGCCGGAAGGUCUGGGUAAUCUUGUGAAACUCUGUCGUGCUGGGGAUAGAGCAUUGCAAUUAUUGCUCUUCAACGAGGAAUUCCUAGUAAGCGUGAGUCAUCAGCUCGCGUUGAUUACGUCCCUGCCCUUUGUACACACCGCCCGUCGCUACUACCGAUUGAAUGGCUUAGUGAGGUCUUCGGAUCGGCUUCGGAGGGCCGGCAACGGCCCACUGUUGCUGAAAAGUUGAUCAAACUUGGUCAUUUAGAGGAAGUAAAAGUCGUAACAAGGUUUCCGUAGGUGAACCUGCGGAAGGAUCAUUACCGAGUUGUCGACACGAGUUGUUGCUGGUCCUCAAACGGGGGCAUGUGCACGCUCUGUUCACACAUCCACUCACACCUGUGCACCCUCUGUAGUUCUACGGUAUGGUGGACACACCGUCCUCCUCCUGUAGUUCUGCGUUUUUACACCUACACUGUAGCAAAGUCUUAUGGAAUGUGCGCCGCGUUUAACGCAAUGCAAUACAACUUUCAGCAACGGAUCUCUUGGCUCUCGCAUCGAUGAAGAACGCAGCGAAAUGCGAUAAGUAAUGUGAAUUGCAGAAUUCAGUGAAUCAUCGAAUCUUUGAACGCACCUUGCGCCCCUUGGCUAUUCCGAGGAGCAUGCCUGUUUGAGUAUCAUGAACACCUCAACUCUCACGGUUUGCCGUGAUGAGCUUGGACUUUGGAGGUUUUUGCUGGCCCAUGGUCAGCUCCUCUCAAAUGAAUUAGCUUGCCAGUUUUCGGUGGCGUCACAGGUGUGAUAACUAUCUACGCUCGUGGUCGUCCGCUGGGUAACCUUCGGCGACGGAGGUUUGCUGGAGCUUAUAAAUGUCUCUCCUCAGUGAAGACAGCUUUUUGAAUGUUUGAUCUCAAAUCAGGUAGGAGUACGCGCUGAACUUAAGCAUAUCAAUAAGCGGAGGAAAAGAAACUAACAAGGAUUCCCCUAGUAACUGCGAGGAAGGGGGAAGAGGUGAAAUUUAAAAUCUGGCGUGCCUCUGGCCGUCCGAGUUGUAGUCUGGAGAAGCGUUUUCCGCGUUGGACCUGUAUAAGUCUCUUGGAACAGGGCGUCAUAGAGGGUGAGAACC